UACAGAGGUGUCAAACGUUGUUCGGAAUUACUGGGCGUAAAGGGCGCGUAGGCGGCGUGUCAAGUCAGGCGUGAAAGCCCCGGGCUCAACCUGGGAACCGCGCUUGAGACUGGCAUGCUCGAGUUCGGGAGAGGAUGGUGGAAUUCCCAGUGUAGAGGUGAAAUUCGUAGAUAUUGGGAAGAACACCGAUGGCGAAGGCAGCCAUCUGGACCGACACUGACGCUGAGGCGCGAAAGCGUGGGGAGCAAACAGG
rnacentral:rRNA from 1 species